GAUAAAGACAUUCACUGUUGCUGUGGUCGACAUUCUCAGCUUCAUUUGCCUUCAGAAGAACUCGGCAGUCCCAAUUCACAGUAAGAACUUAGCUCAAAGAAUCUGGAGGAGCCAAUGGCCAAUGAUGAUCCAGUUGCUGCUAAUCAAGAGAUGCAAGUUGAAUCAUGGAAGAGGCUGAUUCCCAACAGGCAGAAGCGUGACAGUCAAGUGAUAUGCUACCGUUGCUGCCAUACAACUUCAAGGGGAUCAACCACCUGCAUUAUGUGCUGCAAUUGAUCCCUUAACAUGCAAUAAAGUGUUUU